UACGUAGGGCGCAAGCGUUGUCCGGAAUCAUUGGGCGUAAAGGGCGCGUAGGCGGCCUUUCUAAGUCGAACGUGAAAUCCCCGGGCUCAACCCGGGAACUGCGUCCGAUACUGGAAGGCUUGAAUCCGGGAGAGGGAUGCGGAAUUCCGAGGUGUAGCGGUGAAAUGCGUAGAUAUCUGGAGGAACACCGGUGGCGAAGGCGGCAUCCUGGACCGGCAUUGACGCUGACGGCGCGAAAGCCGGGGGAGC
rnacentral:rRNA from 1 species